UUGAGCAGGAAGAGAAUUUAGCCAAAUACAGACAUCCCUACAAGGGCCAUCGCAGAUCCAGCUGGGAUCCAACCCUUACAGAUCCACCAGCAUCCCCAUUUCUGGUGUGACCCAGCAUCAUCAACCCCACCUGGCUGCCAUGGCCAGGGCCAACCCACAGCAGCCACCGGGCCCAUGGGAGCAGCCAGAGAAGGAAGCAGAGAUCCUGCAGGAGGUGAACACAACAGAUGUCUCAGCUUCUCAUUCUGAUGGUCUUCAGCUCGUCUUGCCCCUGGCUUGAAGUGCCCACGUGCAGGAGAAACAUCCUCAUCCUCCUCCAGCUUUCUCCCCUGGUCAUGCAAUGCACACACUUCCAUCUGAAGGAAGCCCAAUGCAGAACUACAGCUCCAGAAGUGCAAAUUCUCUUUCUUUGUGAGCAGCCUUGCCCACCCAAUUAAAUCAUGAUCCCACUGCUCACACAGAGUUUGUGUGCAACAACUCAGCUCGCAGCCAGGUUUGGAAUCAGCAGCAGCUCUGAUUGGAAACCCAGGAUCCAACAGCCCUGAGGGUCACAGCUGCCCUCUGCUUCAUUCCUGCCCCAAGGGCUCAGC